CCUCGCGCCUGAGGAGGCUCGCGCGGCGGCGGCCGCCAUCUCGCUGAGGGAGCGGACCGGGACCAGGCCGGGCGGGCGGACGCGCUCCUGCCCAGAGCUGCUUGGCUCCCGCCGGAAGCACCAUCUCUUUCUUGUCUAACGAGGAUGUCUUCUUGUUGCUGCUGAGGGGCGUGAGGAUGGAAGAAAGGCUGCAGCUGUGUUUGGAAGCUGAUCGUGCAUGGAAAGCUGUAUGAAAGGAAAGUAGCUGAGCCGUUUAAAAAAAAAAAAAAAAAAGCCCUUAGAAGGAAAUCUCGGUUGCACUUGUAUUCGGUUCUCAGAGCAGAAGAGCCAACUGCAAUGCAGGAACUUCCUUCUCUGAAAAGCCUGUGCGGUGCCAGGGUGAGGAGGGAACACCCAUGGAGUGCCCACGAGGGGCUCAGAGCGGCUGCUGGGCAGCACAGGGCAGACCCGGCCCUCUGCUGGCAUCGGAGCAGGGCUGGGAAGUGAACCAGCAGGGGAGGAUGGUGGAGCACACUGUUGGCAUCCACAUUCAGGUUGCUGUAGAGGCAGGCUGUGUGGUUUUGUGUCGAGAAAAAGGGUAAUUCUGCAGCCACUUGUAUCUUCCCCUAAAGCUGAGGUUGCCAGUGUACCUCAAAUGAGGUAGGGAACCUAAAGCAAGAAAGUUGAGACCCUCAAGCAAACCAUCCAGCAUAAAUGCCUUUGUCCCUGCUCCCCUCAUCCUCAUAGGCCUUUCCGAGAUGGUUGAGUUCCAGAAAAACAAGCACCUCCAAAUCCUUGCUGGGAGGGAACACAUCUCCAUUUCUUAAGGCAGCCGUCGUGGGGACAGCAGUAGGUGCCAUUAUCCAGGGGUUGUGCUUUUCCCCAGAGUGUGUGUGAGGUGAAGAGUUGACCUGGAAUGAAAACAUCUAGCAAAAAACCAGCACUUCAUGGUAGCCUGCACUUCCAAAAGUAGUUCACCCUUUCCACUUGUUAACGUGCUGUGUAGGUUGGCCAUGGCUUACUUAAGUUAUUCUUUCCCCCAUCCCACUGGGAAGAGGGACAGUGAGCGAACGACUGCGUGCAGCUCAGCCACCUGCCAGCUUAAUCCACAGCAGAAGUUUACAGAACACCCACGUAUCCACCCUCCCUCCAAAGGACGUGAGCGCAGAACGGCGGAGGAGGCGAACGAAUCACACAGAGGUUUGCUCCAUGUGUUUGUGCCUGUAAUGUAGGUCAGUACAAUGAAAGCUCCUGGAGUGCAGAGCAGCCAGAUAAAUUUGGGAUAGCUGAGUAGGGAUAGUCCGAGAAUAAGGACGAUGUCCAAUAGUGCUGGGUAGCUGGAUGCAGACAUCUGAGACUACUGUAUGUGCAGCCAGGCCUGACUUCCAAGUUAGCCUCAGCUAACUUCAGAACCUGAAACAAACACGACUUACUCCCAAAUUUACUUGAAAGCUAUCUUAGGUUCGAUGUCCUUAUCUGAGCUGACAACCUGGCACUAACCCAGGACUGUACCACAGCAGUUGUGUUUCAGCGCUGGGUGGUGGGUGAGCUUGAAGCUUCCCGGUCUGGAAGGUCCUCUUGUCUGUCCCUCUCUUCUUGCAUAAUAAUUUUGAGUUAUCACUACACUGUUCUUU
ensembl:lncRNA